AUUGAACGCUGGCGGCAUGCCUUACACAUGCAAGUCGAACGGUAACAGGUCUUCGGAUGCUGACGAGUGGCGAACGGGUGAGUAAUACAUCGGAACGUGCCCGAUCGUGGGGGAUAACGGAGCGAAAGCUUUGCUAAUACCGCAUACGAUCUACGGAUGAAAGCAGGGGACCGCAAGGCCUUGCGCGGACGGAGCGGCAGAUGGCAGAUUAGGUAGUUGGUGGGAUAAAAGCUUACCAAGCCGACGAUCUGUAGCUGGUCUGAGAGGACGGCCAGCCACACUGGGACUGAGACACGGCCCAGACUCCUACGGGAGGCAGCAGUGGGGAAUUUUGGACAAUGGGCGAAAGCCUGAUCCAGCCAUGCCGCGUGCAGGAUGAAGGCCUUCGGGUUGUAAACUGCUUUUGUACGGAACGAAAAGCCUCUUUCUAAUAAAGAGAGGUCAUGACGGUACCGUAAGAAUAAGCACCGGCUAACUACGUGCCAGCAGCCGCCGUAAGAC
rnacentral:rRNA from 1 species